CCCACUGUUACAGAACACUUUCCCUGGUUGCUUUGAGAAGGCUCUCUUUGGCAGGAUCUCUGACAUUAGUGUUGCUCUCUGGCUGCCUGCUGUCUCGAACCAUGGCUGCACAGCUGGUUGUAGCUCUGCUGGCUCUCACCUCCCUGGGUGCUGCAUCUGAACCGGACUGUAAAGAGCUGGUUAAGCCUCUGGUACUGGACAGCCACAGCCCCAUCUAUGGGAAGUGGGUGCUUCAUGUGGGGUCAUGGGACCAGCCUGGCCUAAAGAACGACCUAUUGACGGUGAACAGCUCCUGGGUGGAUCUGUCGGCUUCCUCAGACAGCGGAGUCAUCACCAUGUACUGGUCUGACCGCAUAAGUAAAGAUAAAUGCCUUCAGGGUCUAGCCAAUGCCACCGUCUCAGGGAUGACCAGUCACACCACUUUUAAUAUCAACGGUCACACUUCAUAUCAUGAUGGGAAGUACUAUGAGACUUGCUCCGACUGCCUCCUGUCCGAAGACACCACCCUCCUCCCUGACGGCAAGUCAAAGGGACGAUACCUUUUCCUCUUUACACGGACCGGCGCUCUGGAGUCAUCUGAGUUAGAGACCUUCAAGAAGCAGGCUGAGUGUCUUAAAUUCCUCCCAGAGUACCACUUUGGAGGAACAGAUCUGUGUCCAGAUGAAAGGGAGCCAGCUGCACCUGCUGCUGAGAACACAGAGAAUGAUGAAAUUGAUGUUCAGCCUACUGCAAAAUAAAGCACAGAUGUAUGUCAUAGCCCUUUGAACAGCGCGCGCACGCACGCACGCACACACACACACACACACAAACGCAUCCAUCUUAACAUUUACUAAAUGGUGUUGUAAUGUGAUCUGCAUGUGCUGUGGAAUACCUUUUCAUUAGCCGUGGUUCAGUUGGUUUUUAGCAGCAGCAAUAAGUUAAAGGCCUGCUGGUGUGAUGUCACGUCAGAACUGUGGCUUGCAAUGUGUAGUCUUAUUACUGUGUGUCUAUGCCUGCUAAACUGUUUGACCUUUCAUGAUUUAGUUUAGGAACUGUGACAUCUGAAAGGCUCAUGGCAUGUUCUGGCAGGUACAGUAAUGGUUGACAAAUCCACUGAAAAGCCUUCUUCAAAUCAAUUUAACAAUCUGUAAAUAGUUGAGCAUAUAACUUUUUUCAAAUGGUUGUGUGAAGUAAAUAAAACAAUUUUCAGUCUC